UUAUGCGCUUCCCAAAAGCGACAUCAAUGCAUCACACACUAGCACAAAUAUACUUGAACUUGGCCAAAAGGCCAAGAACAUAGAUGUGUUUCCAGAUACAUGGGUGUUUUGUAACCAGAUUAGUUUUGGGUAGUAUGAUAACAAGAAAGAAAGAAAGAGGGUGAGGGAGGUGGGGAUUUUGAAGAAGGAUCCCGAGAUCCUGAAGGAGCAGAUUGAUAAGUUGAAUAAGCAAAGAAAGGCAGCAUUAAACCAGCAGCAUCAUCCAUGGAGACCUUCAACAAAGAGAAAACAAACUAAAGUGUGAUGACACUUUUUAUGUACAAAGAACUGGAGGAAGCAACUUUUUGGACAACCUCCACAGCUGUUAACUACCAGGCUAACAACCUUUUGGCAACACAUAUGCUAACAGACAUCAUCAUCUGUUUUUGACAAAUACAUCAAGCAAUAAUUGUAAUUAAGUUAGCCUACAACUGUACCUAUUUUUUGCAAGCUGUUCGAACAGCAAAUGUAAGUAUCUUUUGAACAUUACCAUAAUAUCUACAUUAGUGGUGAUGUUACUAAAACAUGAUCUACAUCUUCUGU
rnacentral:lncRNA from 1 species